AUGCCACCUUCCGUGCACGACACAGAAGGCCUGCCGUUCAUGAAGCAUGGAUGUGUCUUCAGUGCGCACCGCCGGAUGAACGACAUGCUGGGACACGCUAUCCCUGAUUUAUGCCGCUUCAGCUUGGAUGAGUCCCCAUCGUGUGGAACCGGACUAGAAAGCUGCGACAAUGAUUCCCGUUGCCCACCGCUAUGGAUCGUGCCAUCCAUGAAGAACACCUGGGAUUGGAACCUGGAGGGAGGACAUUACCAUAUAACUGGAAUUAACCCAUGCAAGUCGAAGAAGGAUUGGCCGGUGCUGCCGGCUGGCGUCAAGUUUGAUCCCACAGAUCAGGAGCUGAUCAAGCACCUUGAGGCCAAAGUGAGUGCUGACAGCGCGAGAUCUCACCCUCUCACGAUUUGUUCAUACCAACCAUCGACAGCGAGCACGGCAUAUGCUACACCCAUCCUGAGAAACUUCCAGCGCAAUUCCAGGGCAUUCAAAAGGGGCACGUGGACGCGUCGCAAGAUACGGUUGGAGUGCGGCAUGCACGCGAUGUGGCACAACACCAGCAGUACCUUGCCGGUGAUGGUCAACGGCCGGCAGACGGGCAGCAAAAAGGUUUUGGUGCUGCACACCAACAAGAACUUCGACCAGCAGAGGACCAACUGGGUGAUGCACCAGUACCACCUCGGGGACCUGGAGCAAGAGAAGGAGCGGGAGCUGGUCCUCUACAAGAUUUUCUACCAGACGAACAAUAGGGCCCAGCCCAUGACGACAACGGGGCACAAAGAUCCAGAAGGUAUCUACUGGCCUCUGGCCCGCCAGCGUUAG
rnacentral:rRNA from 1 species